GUUGUAUGGUUAAGUGACUAAGCGUACACGGUGGAUGCCUUGGCAGUCAGAGGCGAUGAAAGACGUAGUAACUUGCGAUAAGCCCAGAUUAGGUAGUAACAACCAUUUGAGUCUGGGAUUUCUGAAUGGGGAAACCCACUUACAUAAGUAAGUAUCAUUAACUGAAUACAUAGGUUAAUGAGGCGAACCGGGGGAACUGAAACAUCUAAGUACCCCGAGGAAAAGAAAUCAACCGAGAUUCCGAAAGUAGCGGCGAGCGAAAUUGGACUAGCCCUUAAGCUUUACACGCGUUAGACGAACGGUCUGGAAAGUCCGACGAUACAGGGUGAUAGUCCCGUAGUUGACGACGUGUGUUCAGUGAAAUCGAGUAGGGCGGGACACGUGAUAUCCUGUCUGAAUAUGGGGGGACCAUCCUCCAAGGCUAAAUACUACUGACUGACCGAUAGUGAACCAGUACCGUGAGGGAAAGGCGAAAAGAACCCCUGUGAGGGGAGUGAAAUAGAACCUGAAACCGUGUACGUACAAGCAGUAGGAGCAGGCUUUGUCCUGUGACUGCGUACCUUUUGUAUAAUGGGUCAGCGACUUAUAUUCAGUGGCAAGGUUAACCAUCUAGGGGAGCCGUAGGGAAACCGAGUCUUAACUGGGCGUUCAGUCUCUGGAUAUAGACCCGAAACCAGGUGAUCUAGCCAUGGGCAGGUUGAAGGUUGAGUAACAUCAACUGGAGGACCGAACCGACUAAUGUUGAAAAAUUAGCGGAUGACUUGUGGCUAGGGGUGAAAGGCCAAUCAAACCUGGAGAUAGCUGGUUCUCCCCGAAAGCUAUUUAGGUAGCGCCUCGGACGAAUACUACUGGGGGUAGAGCACUGUUAAGGCUAGGGGGUCAUCCCGACUUACCAACCCUUUGCAAACUCCGAAUACCAGUAAGUACUAUCCGGGAGACACACGGCGGGUGCUAACGUCCGUCGUGGAGAGGGAAACAACCCAGACCGCCAGCUAAGGUCCCAAAUUACUACUAAGUGGGAAACGAUGUGGGAAGGCUCAGACAGCCAGGAUGUUGGCUUAGAAGCAGCCAUCAUUUAAAGAAAGCGUAAUAGCUCACUGGUCGAGUCGGCCUGCGCGGAAGAUGUAACGGGGCUAAGUAGUAAACCGAAGCUGCGGCAAUAUACUUUUGUAUAUUGGGUAGGGGAGCGUUCUGUAAGCGGUUGAAGGUGUGUGGUAACGCAUGCUGGACGUAUCAGAAGUGCGAAUGCUGACAUGAGUAACGAUAAAGGGGGUGAAAAACCUCCUCGCCGGAAGACCAAGGGUUCCUGUCCAACGUUAAUCGGGGCAGGGUAAGUCGACCCCUAAGGCGAGGCCGAAAGGCGUAGUCGAUGGGAAACGGGUUAAUAUUCCCGUACUUCUUACAAUUGCGAUGGGGGGACGGAGAAGGCUAGGUGGGCCUGGCGACGGUUGUCCAGGUUCAAGUGCGUAGGCUUAAGAGUUAGGUAAAUCCGGCUCUUUUUAAGGCUGAGACACGACGUCGAGCUACUACGGUAGUGAAGUCAUUGAUGCCAUGCUUCCAGGAAAAGCCUCUAAGCUUCAGAUUGUAAGGAAUCGUACCCCAAACCGACACAGGUGGUCGGGUAGAGAAUACCAAGGCGCUUGAGAGAACUCGGGUGAAGGAACUAGGCAAAAUGGUACCGUAACUUCGGGAGAAGGUACGCUCUCGACGGUGAAGUCCCUUGCGGAUGGAGCUAUUGAGAGUCGCAGAUACCAGGUGGCUGCAACUGUUUAUUAAAAACACAGCACUGUGCAAAAUCGUAAGAUGACGUAUACGGUGUGACGCCUGCCCGGUGCCGGAAGGUUAAUUGAUGGGGUUAGACUUCGGUCGAAGCUCUUGAUCGAAGCCCCGGUAAACGGCGGCCGUAACUAUAACGGUCCUAAGGUAGCGAAAUUCCUUGUCGGGUAAGUUCCGACCUGCACGAAUGGCGUAAUGAUGGCCACGCUGUCUCCACCCGAGACUCAGUGAAAUUGAAAUCGCUGUGAAGAUGCAGUGUACCCGCGGCUAGACGGAAAGACCCCGUGAACCUUUACUACAGCUUGGCACUGAACAUUGACCCUACAUGUGUAGGAUAGGUGGGAGGCUUUGAAGCAAGUACGCCAGUAUUUGUGGAGCCGUCCUUGAAAUACCACCCUUGUAGUGUUGAUGUUCUAACGUCGACCCCUUAUCGGGGUUGCGGACAGUGCCUGGUGGGUAGUUUGACUGGGGCGGUCUCCUCCCAAAGAGUAACGGAGGAGCACGAAGGUGGGCUAAUCACGGUUGGACAUCGUGAGGUUAGUGCAAUGGCAUAAGCCCGCUUGACUGCGAGAAUGACAAUUCGAGCAGGUGCGAAAGCAGGUCAUAGUGAUCCGGUGGUUCUGAAUGGAAGGGCCAUCGCUCAACGGAUAAAAGGUACUCCGGGGAUAACAGGCUGAUACCGCCCAAGAGUUCAUAUCGACGGCGGUGUUUGGCACCUCGAUGUCGGCUCAUCACAUCCUGGGGCUGAAGUCGGUCCCAAGGGUAUGGCUGUUCGCCAUUUAAAGUGGUACGCGAGCUGGGUUUAGAACGUCGUGAGACAGUUCGGUCCCUAUCUGCCGUGGGCGUUGGAAGAUUGAAGGGGGCUGCUCCUAGUACGAGAGGACCGGAGUGGACGAACCUCUGGUGUUCGGGUUGUGUCGCCAGACGCAUUGCCCGGUAGCUAAGUUCGGAAUCGAUAACCGCUGAAAGCAUCUAAGCGGGAAGCGAGCCCUGAGAUGAGUCUUCCCUGAUACUUUAAGUAUCCUAAAGGGUUGUCGGAGACUACGACGUUGAUAGGUCAGGUGUGUAAGUGCUGUGAGGCAUUGAGCUAACUGAUACUAAUUGCCCGUGAGGCUUAACCAUACAACACCCAAGGGGUUU
rnacentral:rRNA from 1 species